GAUGAACGCUGGCGGUACGCUUAACACAUGCAAGUCGAACGGUCACUUCGGUGAUAGUGGCGGACGGGUGAGUAACGCGUGAGAAUCUGUCUUCAGGUCGGGGACAACAGUUAGAAAUGACUGCUAAUACCGGAUGUGCCUUUGGGUGAAAGAUUUAUUGCCUGAAAAAGAGCUCGCGUCAGAUUAGCUAGUAGGUGGUGUAAGAGACUUCCUAGGCUCCGAUCUGUAGCUGGUCUGAGAGGACGAUCAGCCACACUGGAACUGAGACACGGUCCAGACUCCUACGGGAGGCAGCAGUGGGGAAUUUUCCGCAAUGGGCGAAAGCCUGACGGAGCAAUACCGCGUGAGGGACGAAGGCUUUUGGGUCGUAAACCUCUUUUCUCAAGGAAGAUGAUGACGGUACUUGAGGAAUAAGCAACGGCUAACUCUGUG
rnacentral:rRNA from 1 species